rnacentral:lncRNA from 12 species
GCACGCCCAUCUUCCUGCCUGCCGGAAGGUCUCCCUGCUCCAGGAUCUGUGCAGUGAGCUCAGCAAGCUGAUGGAGGCACUGAGUGGUUUAAUG